rnacentral:rRNA from 1 species
AACGAACGCUGGCGGCGUGCCUAACACAUGCAAGUCGAACGAGACCUUCGGGUUUGGUGGCGCACGGGUGCGUAACGCGUGGGGACCUACCCUUAUGUUCUGAAUAACUCCCCGAAAGGGGUGCUAAUAACGGGGAAUGUCAUCGGACCAAAGAUGUAUCGGCUUUGGAUGGGGCCGCGUAGGAUGAGGUAGUUGGUAGGGCAAACGCCUACUAAGGCGACGAUCCGGAGCUGGUCUGAGAGGAGGAACAGCGAGACUGGGACUGAGACACGGCCCAGACUCGUGCGGGAAGUAGGGGAUGUGAAUAUAUGACUAUGGGCGAAAGGCUGAACCAGCGAUGGCGCGUGGAUGAUGAAGGGCUUAGGGUUGGAAAGCGCUUUUGACCGAGCUGAUAAUGACGGUACCGGGUGAAUAAGCACCGGCUAACUCCGUG